UGGGGAAUCUUGCGCAAUGGGCGAAAGCCUGACGCAGCCACGCCGCGUGAGUGAAGAAGGCCUUCGGGUUGUAAAGCUCUGUCGGGAGGGACGAACAUCUUAUUGGUGAAUAGCCAGUAGGACUGACGGUACCUCCAAAGGAAGCACCGGCUAACUUCGUGCCAGCAGCCGCGGUAAUACGAGGGGUGCAAGCGUUGCUCGGAAUUAUUGGGCGUAAAGGGUAGGUAGGUGGUCUCGUUUGUCAGGGGUGAAAGCCUUGGGCUUAACCCAAGAAGUGCCCCUGAAACGGCGAGACUCGAGUUCUGGAGAGGGUCGUGGAAUUCCCGGUGUAGCGGUGAAAUGCGUAGAGAUCGGGAGGAACACCAGAGGCGAAGGCGGCGACCUGGACAGAUACUGACACUCAACUACGAAAGCGUGGGGAGCAAA
rnacentral:rRNA from 1 species